rnacentral:lncRNA from 10 species
UUUCUAUUUUCUGUUGGAAAUUUUAGAGAAGAUUAUCAAGGUUAUCUGUGCUCAAUGUGUGCAUCUCAGAUCAGCAGCAUCAGCAUCACCUGGGAGCUUGUUAGAGCUGGAGACUCUCAGGCUCCACGGCAGACUUCCUGAAUCAGAAGCUACAAUUUAACAGGAUCCUCGGGUGAUCUGAAAAUGCAAUAAAGUUUGGGAAGCACUGCUGUUGGUCAUUAGACAAUCUAAUGAACUAAGACUUUUGCCGAGCAUCUGAGUUGAAAUUUUUCAAGAUGAAAAGUUGCUAAAGAAAGAGAAAGGGAAGCGGUUUGCUCCAGUAUUCCUCUUUCCACCUUCCCACUGACUGGGAAGCGGCGGUUAGCAGAGCCACAGUCUUGGAUUAGAGAUAAGAGGGACAUGUUGAGGAAGGUGGAGUCUCCCCCACAGCCCUGGACCAGUACGGAAUCCCUGUAUUCUAGGAUUUGGCAAGCUGUCCACUGAAACAUUAUUUUUCCCAGCCUUCUUUGCAGAGAAAUUAGUUGAUAACGUCUUCCAGGAGACCUACGGCCAUCCUACUGAUAUGAACCAGAUCAUACCUGCCCUGAUGGGAUGCCAGAGAAAGACUGCUGCAAGGUACGCGCCACUCACAGACCUCUC